ensembl:lncRNA
UAAAAGCACAAGAAAUGCCCCAGGUCAUUAGGUGAAAGAAAAAUGUUACCACCCUUCUACUAUAAGCACUAUGAUAAUCCUAUGACCUCAUAGGGUUAGACAAUUUCCUGCCUGAUACAAAGGAGGAGCUAGUGAUAUAAGCCUGACAUCUACCGAAAGAAGGUGGUCUUUUCCCCCUUCCCCACUUUGCUUUGAUUAUAAAAUUGUAGCCCACUUAAUCUUCAGGGCAGAGCCCCUUCACCUGUCAGCUUGCAUCUCUCACAAGUGUGUUCAUUCCUCAGUCAUGUCCGACUCUUUGCAACCUGAUGGACUGCAGCCUGCCAGGCUCCUCUAUCCACAGAAUUCUCCAGGCAGAUUAUUUACCAUCUGAACCACAGGAGAAGCCCAUCUCUCACAUGUGUCCUAUAUUAAGAAAUCUACUUCUUGCCUAUUACUUUGCCUCUUGCUGAAUUCCUUCUGUACUGAGACACAAAGAACCUGAACCUCAGUAAGUCCAGACACCGGGUGAGUGAUUAUAGUCAAGACUGUAGAUUCAGGUCCCAAUCACAAUUUUGGCCAGGUUCAAGUCCCAAUCUGAAGUGCAUGGUUUCAAUCUCCAGAACCUAUGAAUAUACUAUCUUACUUGGCAAGCAGAAUUUUGCAGGCCAAGGAUUAAGGAUCUUGAGAAGGAAAGAUUAUCCUCACCAUCCAUGUAAGGCCCCAUUGUAAUCACAAGAGUCAUAAGAGGAAAGCAAGAGGGUCAAAGUCAAAACAAAAAGAAGAGCAUGUGGUCAAGGAAGCAAGAGAGAGAGAAGAGUCAAAGGGAGAAGAUGCCAUGUUGCUGGCUUGGAAGAUGGAGCAAAGAGCCACCAGCCAGGGAAGGGGAUACAGGUUCAAUCCCUGGGUGGGGAACUAAGAUCCUACAUGCCUACAGGACAACCAAGCCUGCGCACCACAACUAGAGAAGCCCACACACUGCAAUGAAGGUUCCCAUAAGCUGCAACUAAACUGCAACACAGCUAAGAACUAAGGCCCCCAGCCAGGUGGAAGAUGGCAACUUCAGACUGAGCAAAAGAUUCCUGGAGCACUGCUCACCACCAACUCAUCAGAAGAAAGUCACACACUCUGAAGCCUUCACUCCACAUUUUGUCUACAAAAACUCUUCCCCUGAAAACUAUCAGGGAGUUUGGGGCUUUUGAGCAUGAACUACCUGUUCUCUUUGCUUGGCCUAGCAAUGAACCUUUCUCUGCUCCAAACUCUGACAGUUUGGCUGGCCUCACUGUGUGUCAGGCACACAAACUUAUGUUCAGUAAUAUAAGGAACAGUUUCUUGCUUGAAAACUUUAGAAGAAAUUCAGCCUUUCUAACACCUAGAUUUUAGACUUCUGACCUCCAGAAUUGUAAGAAAAUAAAUUUGUAUUGUUUUAAGCCACUAGAUCAGCCCUGGGUGUUCAUUGGAAGGAAUGAUGCUAAAGCUGAAACUCCAGUACUUUGGCCACCUCACGCAAAGAGUUGACUCAUUGGAAAAGACUCUGAUGCUGGGAGGGAUUGGGGGCAGGAAGAGAAGGGGACGACAGAGGAUGAGAUGGCUGGAUGGCAUCACUGACUCGAUGGACACGAGUCUGAGUGAAUUCCGGGAGUUGGUGAUGGACAGGGAGGCCUGGCAUGCUGCGAUUUGUGGAGUCGCAAAGAGUCGGACACGAAUGAGCGACUGAACUGAACUGAACUGAAGCCACUAUAAGCCAUUAAAUUCAUGGUAAUUUGUUACAACAGCAAUAGGAAUCUAAUAAAGUAUGCACACAGAGUUUCAUUGUGCUUUUUCCUCCUCUUAUGAUCUUUUCUUUUUAUUUAUUUAUUUGGCUGCACCAGGUCUUAGUGUGGCACACAGGAUCAUCUGUCUUCAUUGCAGCAUACAAAAUCUUUAGUUGCAUCAUGUAGGCCCUUUUAGUUGCAGCAUGCAAACUUAGUUGCAGCACAUGGGAUCUAGUUACCUGACCAAGGGUUGAAUCUGCCCGCCCCCCAUUGGGCCCAUGGAGUCUUAGUCACUGGACCACAAGGGGAGGACCUGAAAUUUUCUUUAAUAAAAAGUUUUUUUAAAAAAGAAAAACCAGCAUUGAAAAAGUAACACAUCAUUUGAUAUAUAGUUGGACAAGUCCUCUUUUGCUUUUUAAAAUUAUUUUUUGUUGUUCUUUCACAUUUUUACCUCUCAAACACAUUUUAAUUGGCUUGUCAAGUUUCUAUAAAAAUUAGGUAUUUUAUUACAAUUUUAUUGAAUAUAGAAAUUAACUUGUGGAAAAUCACAUAAAAAAAUAGAUGUAACAGGAUGUCCCUGCUAGUACAAGCUGAUCCUUAUAUAUUCCAUGCCAUCAUUGCUUCUAAGUUGCAAGAGUUAAGGGAGGUCUGGAGUUCUCUAACUGCCCCACCUACAACUAAGUGGACAAGUUCUAUUCAGAGAGAAGAGAGAGAAAAAUAAAAUAGUACUUAGCUUCCUUUCAAGACUCACUUUCCAGUAU